AUGUAUUUAAAUGAGUAGUUAUUGUUGCAAACUCCAUUAGAAAUUUUAAUUGAGAUUAGUUUUGGAAUAAGGGAAAGGGGGAUGUGAUUAAAAAAAUUGGGUUCAAUUUUUCUCAUUUGAAAUUUCAUAAAUAAAAAAAAAAAAUUUCUUCAAACAUUUUUUUGAGAGGAUUAAUAUUCAACAGCAUAGUGAAUUGCUCUAAGAGAAAACAAAAAUUUUAUGUUCAUUAGAACACAUUUAUUCUGUGUCAGAAACCUAUGCUGUGUCAACUAUUUAAUCACAAUCCAAAUUUAGAGCUGAAUCCAGCUUGAAUGUU
rnacentral:lncRNA from 1 species